ensembl:lncRNA
AUAUUAGGCGAACACUAAUGAACCUGGAUGUCCUGGAUGGAUCUGAUAAUUAUCCUGACCUGAUCAAUGGCACUUCAAUCCUGCUGUCUGCUUCAACAUUCAUAUUCAGCCAAGACCAGAGAUCUGUUUCUUUUCUCUCUCUCUCUGUGCGUCUCUCUUUCUCUCUAACCGCUCUUUGUGAUUGAGUAUGAAGUCUCCCACAAAGAGAAUGUCAGAAUGAAAGGCAGAGAGCAGGAGGGAGGGAAAAACAGUGGGCCAACCUCGUUUUCCGCUUGAUGGGUUAGCUGCAGAGAAUGCGCCUCGACGAGGUAAAUGAUUAAGGAGGGAGAGAGAGAGAGAGAGCUACAGAUAGCGAGCGAGAGAGAGAGAGAAACCUUUGCGGCUCUGCCAUUUUGCACUUCAAAGAUUUAGCCAGGCAGGUUAAAUGAAAAGCAAAUGUGUUGCCCUGCCGUGCAAAUACCUCAAAUGUUUUAGCAGGUGCAAGCAAUGAGGGAGGUGGGCAGUGACAGAGUCUUGAAUGCACCUUGCUUUAGGAACAAGAGAGCGACGUCCUCCUCUCCCCUCAUAAGAGACCUGGCCUUCAACAGAGGCUAUAGAGAGGUCAACUUAGUGCAGGUCUCAAAGGUCAAUUACUGCAGGUUACCAUGGGAUAAUAUCCAGCCAAGUAAAGAGGGUCAGGUUGGGGAGCUCUCUGAUGGAGGAGAGAGUGGAGAAUCUUGGCUUCUGGAUUUAUCUGUUUCCCCGAUGAUGGGCAUCUACAGCCAGGUCCCGUUUGGCACAAACAACAGAGGGAGGAAUCUUGCACCCUCAUUACAUAGCAGCCACUCUAAUUACAAGCUGCUCAAGAGAUGUUAUUCUACACCUGCUGGUGACAAUGACAGCACCUCUGUCCCUUGCUCGUCUUUGCUUUUGUGUAAUGGGGCGCGGGGUGCAACACAACACCGUUUUAAAUAA